UACAGAGGGUGCGAGCGUUGUCCGGAAUCACUGGGCGUAAAGCGCACGUAGGCGGUCUUUUAAGUCGGGGGUGAAAUCCUGGAGCUCAACUCCAGAACUGCCUUCGAUACUGGAAGACUCGAGUCCGGGAGAGGUGAGUGGAACUGCGAGUGUAGAGGUGAAAUUCGUAGAUAUUCGCAAGAACACCAGUGGCGAAGGCGGCUCACUGGCCCGGUACUGACGCUGAGGUGCGAAAGCGUGGGGAGCAAACAGG
rnacentral:rRNA from 1 species